GGGUUGUGAGGUUAAGCGACUAAGCGUACACGGUGGAUGCCCUGGCAGUCAGAGGCGAUGAAGGGCGUGCUAAUCUGCGAUAAGCGCCGGUAAGGUGAUAUGAACCGUUAUAACCGGCGAUACCCGAAUGGGGAAACCCAGUGUGACUCGUCACACUAUCAUUAACUGAAUCCAUAGGUUAAUGAGGCGAACCGGGGGAACUGAAACAUCUAAGUACCCCGAGGAAAAGAAAUCAACCGAGAUUCCCCCAGUAGCGGCGAGCGAACGGGGAGGAGCCCAGAGCCUGAAUCAGCAUGUGUGUUAGUGGAAGCGUCUGGAAAGGCGCGCGAUACAGGGUGACAGCCCCGUACACAAAAGCGCAUGUGCUGUGAGCUCGAUGAGUAGGGCGGGACACGUGGUAUCCUGUCUGAAUAUGGGGGGACCAUCCUCCAAGGCUAAAUACUCCUGACUGACCGAUAGUGAACCAGUACCGUGAGGGAAAGGCGAAAAGAACCCCGGCGAGGGGAGUGAAAAAGAACCUGAAACCGUGUACGUACAAGCAGUGGGAGCCCCACCACUAAGCCAGUGGUGAACUCCACAUACGCAUCCUUUGCUGAGGAUACGGUUAACGGAGCGAAAGCGACGUUCAACCGCAAAAGAAGCAGAGGGGGCUUAGUGGUGGGGUGACUGCGUACCUUUUGUAUAAUGGGUCAGCGACUUAUAUUCUGUAGCAAGGUUAACCGCAUAGGGGAGCCGGAGGGAAACCGAGUCUUAACCGGGCGUUAAGUUGCAGGGUAUAGACCCGAAACCCGGUGAUCUAGCCAUGGGCAGGUUGAAGGUUGGGUAACACUAACUGGAGGACCGAACCGACUAAUGUUGAAAAAUUAGCGGAUGACCUGUGGCUGGGGGUGAAAGGCCAAUCAAACCGGGAGAUAGCUGGUUCUCCCCGAAAGCUAUUUAGGUAGCGCCUCGUGAACUCAUCUCCGGGGGUAGAGCACUGUUUCGGCUAGGGGGCCAUCCCGGCUUACCAACCCGAUGCAAACUGCGAAUACCGGAGAAUGUUAUCACGGGAGACACACGGCGGGUGCUAACGUCCGUCGUGAAGAGGGAAACAACCCAGACCGCCAGCUAAGGUCCCAAAGUCAUGGUUAAGUGGGAAACGAUGUGGGAAGGCCCAGACAGCCAGGAUGUUGGCUUAGAAGCAGCCAUCAUUUAAAGAAAGCGUAAUAGCUCACUGGUCGAGUCGGCCUGCGCGGAAGAUGUAACGGGGCUAAACCAUGCACCGAAGCUGCGGCAGCGAACGUAUCACUUAAAGUGAUUCAGCGGGUUACGAUUGACGGAGCGAAGCGACGUCAAAGUGUAUACAAAGUCGAGUCGGUUUAAGGAUACGUUCGUUGGGUAGGGGAGCGUUCUGUAAGCCUGUGAAGGUGGCCUGUGAGGGUUGCUGGAGGUAUCAGAAGUGCGAAUGCUGACAUAAGUAACGAUAAAGCGGGUGAAAAGCCCGCUCGCCGGAAGACCAAGGGUUCCUGUCCAACGUUAAUCGGGGCAGGGUGAGUCGACCCCUAAGGCGAGGCCGAAAGGCGUAGUCGAUGGGAAACGGGUUAAUAUUCCCGUACUUGGUGUUACUGCGAAGGGGGGACGGAGAAGGCUAUGUUGGCCGGGCGACGGUUGUCCCGGUUUAAGCGUGUAGGUGUGUGUUCCAGGUAAAUCCGGUUCACUUUAACACUGAGGCGUGAUGACGAGGCACUACGGUGCUGAAGCAACAAAUGCCCUGCUUCCAGGAAAAGCCUCUAAGCAUCAGGUAACAUCAAAUCGUACCCCAAACCGACACAGGUGGUCAGGUAGAGAAUACCAAGGCGCUUGAGAGAACUCGGGUGAAGGAACUAGGCAAAAUGGUGCCGUAACUUCGGGAGAAGGCACGCUGACAUGUAGGUGAAGUGAUUUACUCAUGGAGCUGAAGUCAGUCGAAGAUACCAGCUGGCUGCAACUGUUUAUUAAAAACACAGCACUGUGCAAACACGAAAGUGGACGUAUACGGUGUGACGCCUGCCCGGUGCCGGAAGGUUAAUUGAUGGGGUCAGCGCAAGCGAAGCUCCUGAUCGAAGCCCCGGUAAACGGCGGCCGUAACUAUAACGGUCCUAAGGUAGCGAAAUUCCUUGUCGGGUAAGUUCCGACCUGCACGAAUGGCGUAAUGAUGGCCAGGCUGUCUCCACCCGAGACUCAGUGAAAUUGAACUCGCUGUGAAGAUGCAGUGUACCCGCGGCAAGACGGAAAGACCCCGUGAACCUUUACUAUAGCUUGACACUGAACAUUGAGCCUUGAUGUGUAGGAUAGGUGGGAGGCUUUGAAGUGUGGACGCCAGUCUGCAUGGAGCCGACCUUGAAAUACCACCCUUUAAUGUUUGAUGUUCUAACGUGGACCCGUGAUCCGGGUUGCGGACAGUGUCUGGUGGGUAGUUUGACUGGGGCGGUCUCCUCCUAAAGAGUAACGGAGGAGCACGAAGGUUGGCUAAUCCUGGUCGGACAUCAGGAGGUUAGUGCAAUGGCAUAAGCCAGCUUGACUGCGAGCGUGACGGCGCGAGCAGGUGCGAAAGCAGGUCAUAGUGAUCCGGUGGUUCUGAAUGGAAGGGCCAUCGCUCAACGGAUAAAAGGUACUCCGGGGAUAACAGGCUGAUACCGCCCAAGAGUUCAUAUCGACGGCGGUGUUUGGCACCUCGAUGUCGGCUCAUCACAUCCUGGGGCUGAAGUAGGUCCCAAGGGUAUGGCUGUUCGCCAUUUAAAGUGGUACGCGAGCUGGGUUUAGAACGUCGUGAGACAGUUCGGUCCCUAUCUGCCGUGGGCGCUGGAGAACUGAGGGGGGCUGCUCCUAGUACGAGAGGACCGGAGUGGACGCAUCACUGGUGUUCGGGUUGUCAUGCCAAUGGCACUGCCCGGUAGCUAAAUGCGGAAGAGAUAAGUGCUGAAAGCAUCUAAGCACGAAACUUGCCCCGAGAUGAGUUCUCCCUGAGACUUAGAGUCUCCUGAAGGAACGUUGAAGACGACGACGUUGAUAGGCCGGGUGUGUAAGCGCAGCGAUGCGUUGAGCUAACCGGUACUAAUGAACCGUGAGGCUUAACCUUACAACGCCGAAG
rnacentral:rRNA from 1 species